AAGGCCGGGUAUUCUACGUGAAUCUUUUUAGCGCGUAGCUGGUGCUAGCUAAUCACUUCAAAGUUCAAUAUCUUCAGGACUCGCUCUCCGUUGAUAUAUUUGUGAGAAAACAGUUCUCUCAAGGUCUAAGCUUGCAGAAUACAGAAACGGCUUCUUGCUGUCGUUUUCUUGUCUUCUUGUUCCAGAAAGGCUUUUUCAGUUCAUAGACUGCUUUAGCGAAGAGGACUCCAAACAUGCUGCUAGUACCGUUGCUGCAAGGCGUUGAAGAUAUCUUCAGCAGUAUUAAACAGUCAUGCCCGUUCGGUAAAGAAUUGUUAGUCGUCACUAACGAGCAUUUGUUGAAAUAACCUGUUGUACUUUCCGACUCCGGUGCAUGUCCUGGAGCAGCCAGGUUAUUUCAAUUGACUCUCCUCGCCUUGACUACCAGACCUGGAAGUAGUUCAGCGCCGUGUUGCCUUUCAGUCGUUACUACCAAGCCUGUCUCGCUAUCAUCGGCUUCGCAAAGGAUGGUCCGGGUCUGAAAGAUAUUCAAUUAUCAGCUGUGCAGCGAAGCAUACAUUAUCAGUACUAUUGCAAGAAGUCUGGAAAAGAAGGGAUACAUUGGUACCAGUACAAAGACUCUGGACAUGUGCUGUAACUGGUCUCAUAUCACCGCAUCAGCUACAGCCUGGAAUAUUAGCUGACUGGUGAAAGACUGCGGGGCACGGAAUUAAACUCUACAAUGUUCUAAUGCUGAGCAGCUGCUAUGUUGACAAAGCUAACACUGCAGAUGCAGACCUGUAUUCUCUGGUGUAAAGCUAUCAAGGUGCAGACACACUGAAGGGAGGUUGCGCAAUGGUGAAGCUGAGUGGCAAUUAUGACCUAACAAGAUUCUCUGCCAAGCGGCUUGCUUUCGGAACAUGCGUAUCAUGUUGUGUGCAAGACCACAGUAAAACGACAGCUCCUUGUUUUGUCACAGUUUUCUGCAGCUCCAAAGAACAAAGAUCUGUGAUCAGUCUGCAGACUGGUGCUGCUCCCUGGAUUGGACUGCUGUGUGUGGAGGUGUCACCUGAUUGUUCUAGCUGAAGACAAGUGUGCCUUAUGUGGAAACUGCUGACAUCAUUGGCAAUGUGUUCCGAGGCAUCACAGCUGCUUCUGCGGACGUCGCGCACUGCUAUUGCUGCUGCCGUUUUUGUUGUACGAGAUGCUGAACAUCCAUGAUGGCUUCUGGCAGACUCUGGUGAUGGCACGUCUGGGGUGAUCUUCAGGAAGCAGCUGAGGAAUUCUGUAUACACUAUGCAGUGCAUAUAGAAUGCCCAUCCCCGUCACCUGACACACGGUUGGAUACCUUCCAACUAGGUAGCCUAUGUGUUGGUAAUUGGAAGAAAGCGGCAAAGACUGACUUGGUGCGGGCUGUUGGUAUUUCGCUUGAGCAGCCAAGCGAUAUCGUGGGUGAUAAGGAGUGGUGGCUUGACAAGCCAGGCCAUGAUUCUACCCACAGCAUUGCAGUGAAUUCCUGAUUUCAACCAGCAGUGAGACUUCCAACAGAUGUAGUGUGUCAGUGUUGCUGGCCACAAAACAUGCUUGACAUACCUGUUCACAUAGACAAUGGUGCAUUGUAUCUAUGACUUCCAGUCUCCACACUCACACUAUAUACUCUGCUGUAUUGUAAUGUUAUAACUUCUAACCCUAGUAGUAGACAUGCGCUUCACUGUAUCUAUGUUCUUACGGAACUAUGCACUAUGCUUUUGCACUUUUUAACCACUUCCUUUUUUCGAGUUCCCUCUCUCUCUCUUUCUUCUCUCUCUCUCUCUCUCUCUCUCUCUCUCUCUCUCUCUCAGUCUCUCUCUCUCUCUCUCUCUCUCUCUCUCUCUCUCUCUUUCUUCUCUCUCUCUCUCUCACUCUUUCUCUCUAUCUCUCUCUCUCUUUUUUUUCUCUCUCUCAUCUUAAUUUCGAUGGAUGGAACGGUGGCCUACCCUCCAAUUUCCAUGGAUCAUGCAGUCUACUGAAGCACUCACCUUAUCUCGCUUGUUUCAGUCAAGAUCAUGAUGUAUAAAUUUUGGUCACUGUAUAAUCUUAUCCUAUAAAAGUAUCUAUAUGUAUUUGUCUGUAUGACUCAUCUCUUACAGUCAGUAAUGUGCAUAGACUAACUUUACAUACUUGUUCACUUUGAGAACUUAUCUCCUUCCUGCAUUGUCAUUAAUUUUCUUAUUUCGAUGUAUAUUUUAGUGAAUUAUUAUUUUAU